rnacentral:rRNA from 1 species
AUUGAACGCUGGCGGCAGGCCUAACACAUGCAAGUCGAACGGUAACAGGAAACAGCUUGCUGUUUCGCUGACGAGUGGCGGACGGGUGAGUAAUGUCUGGGAAACUGCCUGAUGGAGGGGGAUAACUACUGGAAACGGUAGCUAAUACCGCAUAACGUCGCAAGACCAAAGAGGGGGACCUUCGGGCCUCUUGCCAUCGGAUGUGCCCAGAUGGGAUUAGCUCGUUGGUGGGGUAACGGCUCACCAAGGCGACGAUCCCUAGCUGGUCUGAGAGGAUGACAAGCCACACUGGAACUGAGACACGGUCCAGACUCCUACGGGAGGCAGCAGUGGGGAAUAUUGCACAAUGGGCGCAAGCCUGAUGCAGCCAUGCCGCGUGUAUGAAGAAGGCCUUCGGGUUGUAAAGUACUUUCAGCGGGGAGGAAGGGAGUAAAGUUAAUACCUUUGCUCAUUGACGUUACCCGCAGAAGAAGCACCGGCUAACUCCGUGCCAGCAGCCGCGGUAAAAC